GACAGGGCUGUAGUUGUGUCUAGGCUUAUACUAGAGUCAAUAAGUUUUCCCAGUUUUCGUAGGUAAAAUUAGGUACCUCGGCUUAUACUCGGGUCGGCUUAUACUCGAGUAUAUACGGUAAUAUAUAUAGAAACUUAGAAAUGGCGAUCCAGUGCAGGAGUUAAAUGCAUGCCAUUUAAUCCAUAUUUAUGAGUGUGUAAUAUUGUGUAGUAAAUUAGUUGAUUGUUUUGCAUUGUUUUAAUAGUUGUUAAAUAAUCAUGGAGGUUUUAGCUAAAAAGAUGGCCAUGGUCAAAUGCACAGGACAGAUUGUUAAAUGCAUGCAAGGAUCUCCAGAUGCAUGGGCUAAGGCUCAAGAUUAUGUGGCCAGCAGGCCCGGGCCAAGCAACCUGGGCGCCCAAGGCAACCCGGCUGGCCGAUUCACCACCUUGCCGGCACAGCUCCCAAGUGCGCAUGCACGCACGCGUCCGGGAUUGCGCGCGUCACUGUGUGUGCACGCGUCUGGGAGUGUGCACGUCAUGGAGGAUACACAUCCCAGAGUGCACAUGCGCACACUUCCCGAAAUGCACAUCUGCAGUCAUUAUUUAAAUUUGUGGAGGGGGGAACGAGUGCCGAUGGAAUAGAAAGGGUCCGGACCAGGGGUAGGCUGAAGGAAGAGGUACGUGCUUGGCGCCCCCACUUCAUUGCGCCCUAGGCACGUGCCUCUUCUGCCUACCCCUAGUUCCGGCCCUGGUGGCCAGGGCAAUUCAUGACAAAUCUCUGUCUAAGUCAAAGGGCAAAGGUGCACUGGUUUUUGUUGCCUGUUGGAUAGCAGAACAGUAUAAAAUUUUAUCUGUGCAAAAAGGGAAUCUUGAAGAAAAGGUUCAUUGUUUAAAUGUGUUAGUAGAUUCUCUAAAAUGUUCUGUAGAAAAUGCCGCUGCUAUUACAGUUAGCAAACAACUGCAGAGUACAAGCAGGUUUGCAUAGAGAAUGAGCAGCUCAAACAAAGGCUGAGGGAUGCAGAAAGUUUGGUUGCAACCUUCAGAAAAGCAGGGGCUGAUCAUUCAAAUUGCAAAUCUGAUCUUAAACAGUUAAAGGCUCAGUUAGGAGCAAGAGAUUGUGUAGUUUCUGCAGUUAAAGUAGAGAACACUGCUAAAAAUGAUAGAAAUGUAACUGAUGGGAAAUGCAUAAAAGACAGUAAUAUGAAUUGUGAAUUAGCAGUCAAAAGUAAAAUGCUAAAUGGGAAUUGAUGUAGACAGGCCAAGCCUCCUAUAGUGACAUUGCAAUGUACAGAAAAUAGGACUGUGGGACAAAAGCAGGACGUUCCUAAAGCCCAGGUUUACAAACCUAUUCAACCCAGGAAGCAGCCUGGCAGUGAAAGGGUGUUUGCCAUAAAGGCUACCCACCCUGAGAAACAAAGUGUGUACAGAACAGAUAAAAAAUGUACACAAAAGAAAGUGUUUAGAUGCUAUGCAUGUUCCAGAGUUGGGCACAUAGCAAGAAAUUGUACCAUGCAAUUUAACAACACGAACAAUCAUAAAAAUGUUUACAAUGGAAAUCGAAGUUAGAAGUCCUCUAGGUGGGGAUUCCAAAAUAAAAGCAAGAGUUGGAAUACAUGGAUUCCCUACCAUGUUCUUAAAACUCAAAAUGAAAGGUGAGUGAAGAGAACUCAAGUCUGAAAAAUGCAUGGGGAAAAUUUAACAAUGAAUUGGAGAGUCUCAAGAUAGAGAUUUCUCAAAUGAAAAGAACAAAAGAUGAUGUAAAUCGGUGCUAAUGUCUUCAAUGAGUUUGUUUUCCAGGUAACAGGAUGGCAGAUCACAAAAAGAAGAAUUUCCCUUCCCCUUUUAUCUCAUGGAAAAAAAAGUUAUAGAGGACCUUAUCUAUUUGGGUUUUUUUCUUCACUUUUUGUACUUAAGGGAAAGCCUCUAAAUAGAUAUGGUACAGUCAGGUUUAACAAAUUCUAAAAUAUUUUUGUUUUUAAUAGUUAGAAUUGCCUGCACUGUGGAGUUUUGAAAAUGGUUGCUGCUUUAGUCUACAGAAGAGUAAAUAGCACUGAGGCAUAUUUUGGAAAAAAAAAUUUUUGGUGUAUUUUUGCCUGAGUGACAUUUUUGUUUAACUCUUGUUUCAGCAGCAACAGGUUAUGAAAAUUUUUUACAUAGACUGCAUGCUGAUUGAUUACUUCAGUAGGUGUUAUGUGUUCUGGAUCAAAGCAGUAUUCACUCUAUAUUUUUUGUUCCCAAAGUUUGUCUGUCAUUGUUUGUAUUUGUAGAUAAUAAUGAUUUGCAGUUCUCAAGGUGGGGUGUUUAAAAAAACAAAAACAAAAAACACUCCAAUAUACAGUCUACAUGUUAAAAGUUACCAGAGCCUUCAGCUAAAGCAAAUGCACAAGUGUCUUACAUUGAUAUGCAUGGGGUUAUUUACAAAACAGAUAUGCGAGAGACAGCAGUUUACUUCUUUUGUUGUGCUUUGGUUGUUAAAUAACUCUUGUGUGAGUUCUGUCCCAAAUGAUCUCUCUUCUGAUAACAAUGCUAAUUUCUGUUUUGUUGGGUUGUGAUAAUCAGGCAUGAAACUGAUAUGGAAAUACUGAGACAAAGGCGAGAAAUAUCUCACUAGUGAUUUGGCCAAGAUAAUUCUGCACACUUUAGUGUAGCGUAUCUUCUGAAUUUCCUGAGGCCAGUAUUGGUAUUACAUACACACCUAUUGUUGAAUUGAGGUGCACUUUCCAGCUGAUUAAUAAAAUGUGCCACAGACAUUUACACCCUACCCUAAAAUAAUAAAAUGUUUUCCCUGUGUGGUCUCUUUAAUAUGAAAACUGUGGUAAGCAGAAAUGUGUUGGGUGUUGCAAACACCAAAGUGCAAAGACCAUGGUUUGCUAAAAGUAGAGGCCCAAGACGGAAUCCAGCCCAGACUUGGGUGGAGCAGGGUCAGGUGGUAAGUGGGGCACAGACAAAGCGGCGCAAUAAGCUGGAUAUUAAACCUCUAAAAGUUGAGGUGUAGGUUCAUAACAGGCUGAAGGGUUAUACAUUAUGAGUAUGAACAACUGUGAGUGUUUGUGUAAUUAGGCUACAUCAUUUGGGUCUCAAUAAUCCUAUCACUUUCAGCUCCAACACAUACAGUAACAGUGUAUUAAUGGAUGUCCCUACAUUGGCAAUGUUAUGAUUUUUGUUAAUUUAGAGGGCUCUUUCCUUUUGAAGUCCUUCGCCCUCUAGGUGGGGAUUUGUAAGAAAUUGCCAUCUUGAUUUUGUUAUUUAAUAUGAAAGCUGUUGUUCACGGAACUUACAUGAAGCCCUGAUUAUCAUAACAAAAGUUUUCCUGUGACUACUUAGGCCUUUGUCUGCUGUGGGGACCAUAAAACUGAUUAAAACUUGCUCAACAGGAUGUAGGCAAGUUGGGGGUUUAUCACAGCAUCUCGGCAGUUGGGAGGGUUUCUGUGGGGGCAGGUGAGAACCCAGGAUAAAAGAACGCUGGACAAAUGUGAAAGGGGCUGGGCAGCUGAGAGGAGGCAGCUAGAGAGCUGGAGAAGCCAGAGGAGCCUGGGAAAAGAGAUGUGAGGAAUGAAGACCAGAGGGGAAGGCAGAGAUGAAGCCGAACUCUAUUCCCCUGCCUUUUUGUUGUGAAUGUGUAACUCAAGUGCAGCGACAAAGGCCCACAGGACAGGUGAGACUCCCAGCAGCAGACCCUUGCAGAGGCAGAGAGACUGGAGCAUGAGGCGGGAAGAGAGGAUGCAACAGAAGCCAGUCCACACAAUCCCCAGAACAUAAAGUGGCGGACCUCAACAUGCCCAUGCCCCCAGUGCUGCAACCCAGGCAUAAAUUUAAUCAUUUAAAAUGCUUGUAAGCCUGGUCCUCAACUGUGGGUGGGUCAAAGAGGGUGCAAAACAGGUGGAUGCUACCACGCUGUACACAGCUUUGUUAUGGAAGAUCAAUGCCCAUAGUCCAAGAGACAGCUGCACUUCCUUAAAAAAAUGUUUGGGAUGGGCCUGGCAUAGAAUUAACAAAUCACCUGGUCCCCCUGCCCUGAUUCCCCAGGCCCAUUGACAUGUAAAAAACCAGUCCCUGCCAGCUGUUACCACAUGCUAGUCUCUCACCAUGGGGUUUGCUUAGCACAAGAGACAACAGGGUCAGUUGCCGUGUUUUUAAUAGACACAUAGUUACAUAGUUAGAUCAGGUUGCAAAAAGACCAAAGUCCAUCAAGUUCAACCCCUCCAAAUGAAACCCAUCAUCCAUACAUACACACACUGACCUCUCCAUACACUCA